rfam:Loxodonta africana unplaced genomic scaffold scaffold_11, whole genome shotgun sequence.
GUCGUCCUUAAUGAUGUAGAUGGAGUAAAGCUUUUGGAGCCUUCAUUCGCUGAUGCAGCAUGAC